rnacentral:rRNA from 1 species
GAUGAACGCUGGCGGCGUGCCUAACACAUGCAAGUCGAGCGGAAAUAUUCAGAAGUAUACGUACGGAUGGAUAUUUUAGCGGCGGACGGGUGAGUAACACGUGAGCAACCUGCCUUUUGCUGGGGAAUAACAUCGGGAAACCGAUGCUAAUACCGCAUGACAUUCCGAUGGGGCAUCCUGUUGGAAUCAAAGGAGAGAUCCGGCAAGAGAUGGGCUCGCGUCCGAUUAGCUGGUUGGUGAGGUAACGGCUCACCAAGGCGACGAUCGGUAGCCGGACUGAGAGGUUGGACGGCCACAUUGGGACUGAGACACGGCCCAGACUCCUACGGGAGGCAGCAGUGGGGAAUAUUGGGCAAUGGGGGAAACCCUGACCCAGCAACGCCGCGUGAAGGACGAAGGCCUUCGGGUUGUAAACGUUCUUUGUAUCAGGGACGAAAGCGAUGACGGUACCUGAGGAACAAGCCACGGCUAACUACGUG